CAUCUCUCCCUUCUGCUGGAAGCCUAGAGCCAGCAGACACCAGGACGAUUUGCAAACACAUCAAGCGAGGCCAGCAGGCACAUAAGUAUCCCCUGCCUCAAGCCAGGAAAGCUUUGUCCUCCGGGGCUGUGUGGAGAGGGGCUGGAGAUGAGACACGCUGGCAGAAGUGCUUCUGGAAGCACCAAUGUGAUUCAUCAUCACAUCUCAGCAAUUUCAACCCCUGUUAAUUUGUAAAUGAAGUGAAAAGCCUUGAGAAGAUUGGAUCAUGCAUUAUUUUUACCCUUGCAAAUAGUUCCCAGACGCAAGGAGCUUAAGCUGUGAAAAAUGCACACUGCAAGCCCUCAGCGUGCACUGAACUUUGAAAUGCCAACUGGGAAGCUGAGGCUGGACCAUUCAUCUCAUGGAUGGUCACAGGGGACCACGUUACCUCAAGGUGCCUUGGCAGAAACACAGCCUUGCUUUUGCCGUCCCUCACCCUCUUUGCAUUGCUCAAGUGGGAAGAAGCACGGACCUUGGUUCCUUGGAGGAGGAUUUCACAUUGCUGAGGAAACCUGGCGUCCUGACAACUUGGCUUCAUCUCCUUACUAUAUGUAACACAUAACCUCCUUAAUAUUACACAUGACAUGUUUAACUGCUUAAUUUACUUUGGGAGGUAUUGCCAAGUACAGCUAUUUUGUUGUCAUAUCAUUUGCAUGAUAAACUUGUAUAUUUUAAGCCCCAAAUAGGAUGUUUCUGUGAGCUAUCUGUCUACACUUUUACAAGCAUAGCGUCCUCACUCCUUGACUAAGAGCCCUACAUCAUUUUCUCGUGAGGGAAUGAAUGAUAUUUUCUUCCAGGAGGAGAGAGGAGAUUCAGGGUUUGUCUAUAUUGUAGAAUCAUAGAAUGCUUUGGAUUAGAAGGGACAUCUAUAGCUCAUC